rnacentral:rRNA from 1 species
UACGAAGGUGGCAAGCGUUGUUCGGAUUUACUGGGCGUACAGGGAGCGUAGGCGGUUGGAUAAGCCCUCCGUGAAAUCUCCAGGCUUAACCUGGAAAGUGCAGAGGGGACUGUUCAGCUAGAGGAUGGGAGAGGAGCGCGGAAUUCCCGGUGUAGCGGUGAAAAUGCGUAGAUAUCUGGAGGAACACCGGUGGCGAAGGCGGCAUCCUGGACCCGACACUGACGCUGAGGAGCGAAAAGCCAGGGGAGCAAACGGGG